rnacentral:rRNA from 1 species
UACGUAGGGCGCAAGCGUUGUCCGGAAUUAUUGGGCGUAAAGAGCUCGUAGGCGGCUUGUCACGUCGGGUGUGAAAGCCCGGGGCUUAACCCCGGGUCUGCGUUCGAUACGGGCUAGCUAGAGUGUGGUAGGGGAGAUCGGAAUUCCUGGUGUAGCGGUGAAAUGCGCAGAUAUCAGGAGGAACACCGGUGGCGAAGGCGGAUCUCUGGGCCAUUACUGACGCUGAGGAGCGAAAGCGUGGGGAGCGAACAGG